CUUCCCGAACAAAAUUUGCUGGGGCUUGAAAUCCCGCCCAGUCUUUAUGCACUUCGGAUGUGAAACAUUGCGUAACAUAAAUUGUGGAAACGGUAUUUUUUUUACUUAAUUUGCACAUGUUAAUUCUUCACGGGGAAAAAUUCUGGGGAAUUUCACCCAAAUUCCGGCUCCGGGAGUAUUUUCUAAGUCACAAGUCGAUAGGAUUACAAAUUUCCAUGUUAAAAUCUUUCAUUUUGUGGUAGCGAAAGAAUAUAACUGUGUAAAUUUCGUUUUUGGGAAAAGCAUGCAUUAUUUUAAGUUUCAUUUUCGAUUAGCCUUGAAUAUUUAUCAAACAUUGAC